AUGUUAGUAUGGUGUACACAUCUGUUCUCGGAGCGUCUGACUGCCUGUGUUUCCUCAGACGGGUGAGAUGGGUCUCACUCAGAGCGUGGGCGAGGAUGGACUGAGGUUUGAGGUGUGGGUGAGACACGCGUCCCGCACCAGAGACUGUCUCACUCUCCAGGCCUCCAGCGUGCAGGAGAGACAAACCUGGAGCCACGACAUCGCACAGCUGCUCUGGACUCACGCCAUCCACAACACGGAGUUGUGUCUGAAGGAGUCUCUGUGUAUGGGAGUUUCCAGUAAGCUGCUACUGGAUGUGACGGGAGCUCAACUUUCAGACCUGGACUCCAGCUUCAGCCUGAAUGACAGAGUUCAGAGCAGUUGUUCAGAUUCAUCUUCUGUGGGCAGCAUGAAAGAGGGCGACUCACCCGCCUCUGCGAGAGAUUCAAAGAGAAACGGCGAGCAAACGGGUCACACUCAGAGCUCCUCACCCUCCACCUCUGUGUGAAUCAUUUCAACUCAUAAUACAAGUCUUAAAAAUAAUACACACUUUUCCUGCUGUUUCUUUAACCAAAAUCUCUGCCACAUAUUUACGACUGGGACAACUGGACACAAACUGGAUCCUGAGACGCACACAGCCGUGUAAAUACAGUAUUGCAGAAGACUGGAGGAGCCGUCUCACUUCUUAUCAUUUCAGUUGCUCUUGAUAAUUGACUUUCAGGUAGUGAAUCAAAGUUGAUUCAACGUCUCAGGCCCAUCACACACAUCAGAGACUAAAAAAAAGAUGACUUUAAAGUCAACAUGAAAUCAAAAUUCACUGAAAAUGUAUUCACUUUCAGGCCGUCCAAUAUGCAGAUGAGUUUGUUUCUUCAUCAGGUUUGGAGAAAUGCAGCAAUGCAUCAGUGUCUCAGCAAUGGAUGCUCUGCAAGUGAAUGGGUGCCGUCAGAAUGAGAGCUGAUAACAACAUCACAAUAAUCCCCAGCACUCCAGUCCAUCAGUUAGCAUCUGGAGAAGACCAAAGCUGAAACAAAUCCAUCAUUAAGACGUUUGCAAUUAAAUACAAGUCCAUAAUCCAUAAUAACGCUUCCUCCAGUGAAAAAGUCCAUCUCCUGUUGUCUCUCACAUAUGUGUUUAGAGCUGCUUUGGCUUGUAAACGGUGUUUGAUCUGUGCAGAUUACUCUCCUGAUUCAGAUCAGACCACUUUUUACAAGACGUUAACUGAUGGACUGGAGUGGUGUGGAUUAUUGUGAUGUUUUUAUCAGCUGUUUGGACUCUCAUUCUGACGGCACCCAUUCACUGCAGAGCAUCCGUUGCCGAGACACUGAUGCAAUGCUACAUUUCUCCAAACCUGAUGAAGAAACAAACUCAUCCUAAUCUUGGACGGCCCGAGGGUGAGCACAUUUUCAGCAAAUUUUCAUUUUGGGUGAAUUAUU
rnacentral:lncRNA from 1 species